rnacentral:rRNA from 1 species
CCUACGGGUGGCUGCAGUAGGGAAUCUUCCGCAAUGGACGAAAGUCUGACGGAGCAACGCCGCGUGAGCGAAGAAGGUCUUCGGAUCGUAAAGCUCUGUUGUUAGGGAAGAACAAGUACGGGAGGAAAUGACCGUACCUUGACGGUACCUGACGAGGGAGCCACGGCUAACUACGUGCCAGCAGCCGCGGUAAUACGUAGGUGGCAAGCGUUGUCCGGAAUUAUUGGGCGUAAAGCGCGAGCAGGCGGUCUUUUAAGUCUGAUGUGAAAUCCUGCGGCUCAACCGCAAGCGGUCAUUGGAAACUGGGAGACGUUAGUGGAGAAGAGGAAAGCGGGAUUAUACGGGUAGCGGUGAAUUGCGUAGACAUGUGGAGGAACACCAGUGGCGAAGGCGGCUUUCUGGUCUGUAACUGACGCUGAGGCGCGAAAGCGUGGGGAGCAAACAGGAUUAGAUACCCUAGUAGUC